rnacentral:rRNA from 1 species
UACGGAGGGGGCUAGCGUUGUUCGGAAUUACUGGGCGUAAAGGGUGCGUAGGCGGCUUGCCAAGUCGGGCGUGAAAGCCCCGGGCUCAACCCGGGAUGUGCGUCCGAGACUGGUAGGCUUGAGUUCGGGAGAGGUGAGUGGAAUUCCCAGUGUAGAGGUGAAAUUCGUAGAUAUUGGGAAGAACACCGGUGGCGAAGGCGGCUCACUGGACCGACACUGACGCUGAGGCACGAAAGCGUGGGGAGCAAACAGG